GGAAUGGUCUUUUUGGAAUGGCUAGAGGC
rnacentral:piRNA from 1 species